AAAACAGCUGGGACUCACAUGAUUUAAAACUUAGAAUCAUCACCUCUACAAUAUUACAAUCCACAUCUAAGAAGUCCUAAUCACAGAAGCACAUUAUACAAUAUCCUAGCUUAGCAACCAAAUUCACCUAGUCAACAACUCAACAGAUCCUGUCUGACAAUCCCCUCUACUAACCUCAUGUCUUGCAUAAAAUAAAAGUGCAGGCCUUACCUUGGGAGUAUCGAUCAAGGAACACAUGGACUCAACUCAAGCAAGUAGGUAGUUUCAUCUGAUUCCUUUCUUCUCUCUACUCUCUUCUCUGAAUCUCUUUAUUAGUUUCAAUCCCAAUGAAUUUCGAUGUUGAUUAGACAUCUAGUUCAUCUUAUUGACAUCAUGCUCUUUUCUUCUUCUUUUUUUUUCUUUUUUUCUUUUCUUUUGACAAAGUGUAGCGAAUAAUGGGGUCAUAGGAGACACUCCUACCCCUCGUUUCCACAAUGUGUGAUCAUUCCCUUCAGACUUAGAAUAAUGGAGUCACAUGAGACACUCCUACCACCUCUGCCUCUUCCAGGAAAUCAUUUCAAUCUUUUCUUUAUAUCUUGAGAUGCCGAAGAGAGAGAAGGAAGGGAACCAGCAACACAUAUGAGCGUUUACCUUUCAGACUUGCAGGAGGAUUCCGAUCCCUUGUAUACCAAGCCCCAAGACAAGCAAAUCAAGUCAAAUUAGGUUGGAGGUCAGCUUUGGUUCCUUCAAACAUUCUCAGCAAUUGCAAACAUAGUUGACAGGUUGAUCCACUUUAGUAUCUUUAGUACUAUAUGCAAUCAGUAAGUCUAGAAUGGUGCUAAAGAGUGGUUAGAUAACAAGCAUGAAUCUAAUAAGUUCAUUAUCCCUUUCUUGACUCAAUAAAAACAGUUUUGAAAACAUUUUAUAAAACUCAAUAGAUAAGCAAACAUCAGUAAACAUCCCCCCAGACUUAAAUUACACUGUCCCCAGUGUAUAUUUAGUCAGAGUUAUGGUUAGAAAAUAAAUAAUAAGUAGACAAUUUAACAAGUAAGAACGAUAACCUGCUCGACAUCAGUGUCGAUCGACAUAAUGAAUAGACAAUCGACCGAUGUUGAUGAAGUGCUGUCGAUUGAUAGUGACAUGGUCUCAUCGGUCGAUGGCUAGAGCAAUCAUUCGACACAAUGAAGAGACAAUCGAUUAUUGGAUAUGGAGUGCUGUCGAUCGAUAUCGAGCUGGUGUCAUCGGUCGAUGUGCUGAGCAAUCGUCUACUCGGAUCUGUUCUUUUUUUUUUUUUUUUUUCAUAACUAAAACACAAUAUCAGUAGAACCUCCCCCAGACUUAAAUAACACUAUAGUGGUGUUAUCCAGUCGGAGAUUGGUGUAAAUAAAUCAUAAGUACUCAAUUUAAAAAGUUAGAACGAUAUGUCAUCGGUCGUGGCAGAUGUAGCAAUGUCGAUCGAUAUCGACUUGUUCUCGCCGGUCGAUAUCAUGGCAAUCGUUUACUUGGAUCCAUAUUCUAAACAUCUAACUAAAACCUAAUAAUAAUGUAACCUCGCCCAGGCUUAAAUAACAU
rnacentral:lncRNA from 1 species